rnacentral:tRNA from 1 species
GGAAGUGUAGUUUAUCUCAGAAUGCUGUUUUUGUAAAGCAGUGGUGUGAUCUUGUCGACUUCUU